UGGAAUCAUUUCCAUGUAUGGUUUGCUUUCAUUUCCGAGUUCCGAUCAUUUCAAAUGUUAUGAACACUAUUGGGAGAAACUGCAGUGCAGUCAUUUUUUUUGCUUUUCUCCAGAAUGGGGGGCCCAACAGGAAGAAGCACGGCAGAAGUUCAACCAACACAUGUGAGAAGGUCAACUCAGGUUGUCGUCGUGACUACACUUCCUGACCCAACCAGUUACCCCCGCUUUUACUUUCUACAGAGCACAGACAUUUAAUAACCGGGAAAACCGAUUUGGCCCUGAGACUCUGUGGUCCCCGUGCCAACCGCGUGGGAGCCGAGGUGGAUGGCAGCCAAGCACACACAUCUGGAAGGAUCCAUCCCAGAGGUCAAAGGUUAAUGGCAAACACUCUGAGAGCCUGGCAAAAGGCCAGGGAAACAAGGGUUUCAUUCAAAAUACUUAUCCUCUUUGUCACCAUGGUGAUUGGCACUCAUUUGUCAUAACUUUAAUAACUGUAUUUAUUCAAUUAAAACAAGCACUAGUGGUUGGACAUGCCAUUUUUUGGAGCUUUCAGAUUCCUGAUGUGUUAUAUCUUAUAUUUUAUUUUGAAAUGACACAUUGUAUUUGGAAACCUAUUAAUGUGGAAUAAGCUUUCCAAUAUCACAAGGCUCAUGAGCCCGAUGUUAUACUGCUGAAGUGAAUCACAUCUUCUAGGAACGGACAUCAAUCUGUCCUCAAAUCCUUACAUCAAUAUAAUUUCCUCCUUGAAAUAACAAUAAAGAAAUCCUCCAGGUGUAGGGAAGGAAAAUUAAGAAUCUCAUGCCUGCAUUUUUCUUAAACCGUUUAGGAAAUGGUCUCAUGUCAGUUAUGGUAUAAAUCUAUUCUCUCCAAGGAUUUUGUUUUUUUAAUGAUUCCACUCAUCUAUUUGAGAUUUGAUCCCCUCACUUUUAAAAUUCUAUGUGCCUGUAUUAAUUGAUGUAAGAAAUUUGGUCACAGCCAUGACUUUGUAUGAUGUCUACUGUACAGCAGAAAGAAUGGUAUUGUUUAUAAAACAUGUAUUUAUCAGAUAAAUGACGAUGACCAUCGCGUUAUCCUUAUGCCGUUUGAAUGUUAUGUAGGCAUUUUCUUUAUCGGGCUGUUCUGCCGGGCCCAUGUCCCAUUUUCUUUCAAUAAAAGGGGCAAUGAUAUCCAUAUGUUCCAUGUUCUAGGGACUCAAGGUUGAAGAUAAGCUUUAUCCCCUCCCAAGUAAUGCAAUAAUUUGUUUUAAAAAUGCUUAUUAGCCUGGAGAAUGGUGGAUCAAUGCGAUGUUGUUUAAAUUUGUAAACCAGUGUAUUUUUUCAUUUAUUUUGGUAGAAAUAUCUUUCUAUCUGUCUCUCUAUCUGUCUAUCUGUCUAUCUGUCUAUCUGUCUAUCUGUCUAUCUAUCUAUCUAUCUAUCUAUCUAUCUAUCUAUCUAUCUAUCUAUCUAUCUAUCUAUCUAUCCAUCUAUCCAUCUAUCCAUCUAUCUAUCUAUCUAUCUAUCUAUCUAUCUAUCUAUCUAUCUAUCUAUCUAUCUAUCUAUCUAUCUAUCUAUCUAUCUAUCAGUUAUUAUAUAGUAUUGUACAUAGCAUGUGGCCUUAUAACCCAGUUCUGCCAUAUACAGUAAUUCCUUCUUAUUUGUUAUUUGUUGUGUUUUCUUUCAGGAGUUUAUUGAGGCUGCUGCCAUCACAGAGCCCAUCCCUCCACCUCAAGCACCUCUUCUGCAUUGGUAGCCCUAAGCCACCCAACCCCCAGGAAGAUAGAAAGAUUAACCAUCGACUGAUGGUUUAAAAUUGUUGAUCCCUUUUUGUAAUGUGCAAUAUUAGUUCCAUUAAAUCACUGGUUCUUG